UACGGGGGGGGCAAGCGUUGUUCGGAAUUACUGGGCGUAAAGGGUUCGUAGGUGGCCGGCUCAGUCAGACGUGAAAUCCCUCAGCUCAACUGAGGAACUGCGUCUGAUACUAGUCGGCUUGAGUGCAGGAGAGGAACGCGGAAUUCCAGGUGUGGCGGUGAAAUGCGUAGAUAUCUGGAGGAACACCGGUGGCGAAGGCGGCGUUCUGGACUGCAACUGACACUGAGGAACGAAAGCCAGGGGAGCAAACGGG
rnacentral:misc_RNA from 1 species